CCAGAAAAGGUAGAAAGGAAAAGCAGCGAGGCAAGAGAGGGUCUGACACGUCUGCACUUUCUAGUGAAUCUGAUGGAGGGCCACCUGAUAUGGGGGCUCUUUGUAUCUGAUCUUUUGUUAAACAUUGUGUCAGAUGGGACUUGUCCAGUUCUCAAGAAUCACAACAAUCUUGUGGCUUUGUCAUUGCAUCCAUGAGGAAGUGGGGAGAGAGUCGAAUUGUGAGCGGGAAACUGAUGCUGAAAGAAGGAAGUCUAUAACUUGAGCUUCUUCCCGGAGCAACUUAUGAGGUUACUCAUUAUUUUUUCUUGGCUUGCCUCAAAUAUAAAUCUUUUCAUUCUCUAUUAGCUGCAACAUAGAGCGCAUGUUAGUCUGAGGUUAUCUUCUGUCUUCAAAGGCUGGUACCUUACUAGUCUUGUAUACUACCUUGUCCCAAAAUGGGGAAAUAAAAGAUCCUUACUUCAUCUAACAGCUUAA